UACGUAGGGAGCGAGCGUUAUCCGGAUUUAUUGGGUGUAAAGGGUGCGUAGGCGGCUUUUUAGGUCUAAGGUUUAAGCCCGGAGCUUAACUCCGGUUCGCCUUAGAAACCGAUUGGCUUGAGUAUGGUAGAGGCAAGUGGAAUUUCUAGUGUAGCGGUAAAAUGCGUAGAUAUUAGAAGGAACACCAGUGGCGAAGGCGACUUGCUGGGCCAUUACUGACGCUGAGGCACGAAAGCGUGGGGAGCAAAUAG
rnacentral:rRNA from 1 species